rnacentral:rRNA from 1 species
UACGUAGGGGGCGAGCGUUGUCCGGAUUUACUGGGCGUAAAGGGCGCGUAGGCGGCCACCGCAAGUCGACUGUGAAAUCUCCGGGCUUAACUCGGAAAGGUCAGCCGAUACUGCGGGGCUAGAGUGCAGAAGGGGCAACUGGAAUUCUCGGUGUAGCGGUGAAAUGCGUAGAUAUCGAGAGGAACACCUGCGGCGAAGGCGGGUUGCUGGGCUGACACUGACGCUGAUUGUGCGAAAGCUAGGGGAGCGAACGGG